GUCGAGAAUCUUCCGCAAUGCGCGAAAGCGUGACGGAGCGACACCGCGUGAUGGAUGAAGUCCUUCGGGGCGUAAACAUCUUUUAUAAAGGAGGAAAUUUUUGACGUUACUUUAUGAAUAAGGGGCUCCCAAUCUCGUGCCAGCAGGAGCGGUAAUACGAGAGCCUCAAGCGUUAUCCGGAAUCAUUGGGCGUAAAGGGUGCGUAGGUGGUUCGAUUAGUCUCCCGUUAAAACUUCGAGCUUAACUCGAAAAGAGCGGGGGAAACGGUCAAACUAGAGUAUGUGAGAGGUGUGUGGAACUCAUGGUGUAGGGGUGAAAUCCGUUGAUAUCAUGGGGAACACCAAAAGCGAAGGCAGCACACUGGCACAUCACUGACACUGAGGCACGAAACCUAAGGUAGCGAAUGGGAUUAGAAACCCCAGUAGUCC
rnacentral:rRNA from 1 species